rnacentral:rRNA from 1 species
GCCAGACUCCUACGGGAGGCAGCAGUGGGGGAUAUUGCACAAUGGGGGGAACCCUGAUGCAGCGACGCCGCGUGGGUGAAGGAGUAUUUCGGUAUGUAAAGCCCUAUCGGCAGGGAAGAAGCAAGACGGUACCUGACUAAGAAGCCCCGGCUAACUACGUGCCAGCAGCCGCGGUAAUACGUAGGGGGCAAGCGUUAUCCGGAUUCACUGGGUGUAAAGGGAGCGUAGACGGCGACGCAAGUCUGGAGCGAAGGCCCGGGGCCCAACCCCGGGACUGCUCUGGAAACUGAGCAGCUAGAGUGCAGGAGAGGUAAGUGGAAUUCCUAGUGUAGCGGUGAAAUGCGUAGAUAUUAGGAGGAACACCAGUGGCGAAGGCGGCUUACUGGACUGUAACUGACGUUGAGGCUCGAAAGCGUGGGGAGCAAACAGGAUUAGAUACCCGAGUA